AUUUGGGGCCCUCAUGCAGAGCCCUUUGUGCCUUAUUCUCCAGCAAUGGAACUUCGGCAUCUAGAGAUUUCAAGAUUACAUUUGGGAGGCAAGUCCCUAGGACUUGAGACAAGCUGCAGCAUUCACCUGCAAGUGCGGCUCGCAAAUCAACAGACUUUGGAGCCAUUGGUAAAGGCUACUUCCAGUUAGAAAGUGAGAAGAUAUAAGCAGCAUGUGCUGUAGACUAAGGUAGUAUCUUCGAGUUCUGCCAUUGGCACCUAUCAGUGGCUGAGAUAUCCUGGGUUGAAUUCUGCAAGGUCCAGCAUAGUGUAUUAUGCAUGAAAAGACAUCUCCUGUUACUUCAUUUUUGUAAAAGAUUACCUCAAUACUC
rnacentral:lncRNA from 1 species